rnacentral:rRNA from 1 species
UACGUAGGGUGCGAGCGUUUGUCCGGAAUUAUUGGGCGUAAAGGGCUCGUAGGCGGUUUGUCGCGUCGGGAGUGAAAUCCCCGGGCUCAACCCGGGAACUGCGUCCGAUACUGGUGGGCUCGAAUCCGGGAGAGGGAUGCGGAAUUCCUGGUGUAGCGGUGAAAUGCGCAGAUAUCAGGAGGAACACCGAUGGCGAAGGCAGGUCUCUGGGCCGAUACUGACGCUGAGGAGCGAAAGCGUGGGGAGCGAACAGG